AAGAAAGAAAGAAAGAAAGAAAGAAAGAAAGAAAGAAAGAAAGAAAGAACAAACAAAAGUCAGGGAAAUGAACACUCAGCCGGCUCCCAAGGUGACAAAUGAGAAGAGAAGAGACAUUAGAGUAGAAUCAACAGCCAGGUUGGUUGAGGAGUGGAGCUCACAUGCCCUGCUAGAAGCUUGGCUUUUGCAUAAGAGUGAUGGGAAGACAUGAAAAAAUCAAACAAGGGACAGGGCGAGCACAUUUUGAGGAAGGAGCAUGAGCAGUGGCAAUGUGGCCUCAGCCUCAUGCUCAGCUAGGGCCUGAUAAGCUGCAGUGCCCCUCACCUCCUGUGUGACUGAGGCCAUGAAGAUGACACAUCCAUCUUUGCACCAUCAAGCACUUCUGGUGGACCAGGGCCCAUCAUGUCGCCCCUGAAUGUAACCAGGGUUUCAUCAGUGAAGUGUAUUCUUCAUAUCCUGAGUGCCUGGAGCUUGGCACAGCGUCUUACUCAGUGAGCUGAGCUUGUGCUUAUUGCAUGCAGGGAGGAAAAAAAGACUGCUGUGAAGUUUGCCAGAAGCAACAUUUCUGGCACCCCAAUAUGGCUGGGAAUGGCUAGAAGAGUAUGGGAGUGAAUUAAAUAGCUGGGGAAUAAAGCUAAAAGGAAAGCGCUCUUCUCAUAAAGCAAAGAUCUCCAGUCACUUGCAAGCUGAAAGCUGGUGGCACAGGUUUAGUUGCCCACAACGUGUGAAGAGCAAUUUGUUUGAAUUAGUUGCUAUUAAAAGACUGGUAAGUUAACAUUAGCACCUUCACAUCUGGUUUAUCUUAAACCCCAAACUAGCUGACAAUACUUGGCCUGUUGUGGUAUUUUAAUUCAUUAACUGACGUGCUUCAAACAUCACUUCAGGUAUAAAACUUAGUGUUCUGUUAGUAGCAGGAGAGCAUCUUUGGAGAAAAAGAUACAGUAGAAUCACUAGUAUGAUUCAUUUGUUGUAUGCACACCCUGAAAUAAAUAAAAGUAAUACGGUAAACCAUAAGAAGACUGAAGUCUUAACCUUCUUGCAGAGUUGCUCACUAGCCUAAAAUGCCAUUGAGAUGAGAUGAGGUAAGAUGAGAGGAGAUGAGAUGAGAAUAUGGGCCCCUCCCAAAUUCAACUUCCCUAUAAAUCUUUGUAUUAAUUGUUUUUUGGUAAUAUAAGCCUUGGUUAGGUUAAAGACCAAACAAAAGAAAACUUCAUACUACUUUUACAUAGUAAAAAAUGUUUAUAUAAUUAAUGCGCAAAAAAUGUGUGCCUGAGACAACAGAAUGCAACCUAAAGACAGCAAUGUGAAUAUGGGGAUUAUGUGGGAUAAAAACUUAGUCAACUACAAAGGGCAUAACAUGUAAACAAGGCUUACUUUAUGACUAAAUGACAGGCUAUUGUAAAACGCAUGCAUAUAUUAAGAAAAAUUUUCCUAGAACCAAAAGUGUUUACAGAUGACAAUGUUGUAAAAGUGUUUGUAUUAUUCAGUUCAGGCUGCUAUAUAAAACAAAAUGCCCAUGGACCAGGUGGCUUAAAAAAACAGAAAUUUAUUUCUUAAAAUUCCGUAGGCUAGAAGUCUGAGAGAGGGUGCCAGCAUGGUCAGGUUCUGGGGAAGGCCCUCUUCUAGGUUAUAGACUGCCAUCUUCUCACGGUGCCCUCAGGAGAGAGCAGAGAGAGGUCCUGUUUCUCCUCCUCUUUAUAAGGUCAUUAAUUUUAUCAUGAAGGCCCCACCUUCAUAACCUCAUUUAACCCUUAUUACCUCCCAAAGAUUUCACCUCCUAAAAGCACCAUAUUGAAGGUUAGAAUGUCAACAUAAGAAUGUGGGGGGAUACAAACUUUCAGACCAUAACAGUGUGUCAGUGUUGCAGCAGAGAUGAUGGAUACUAAUCAAGAAUGGCCAUUUAUGAAUGGAAGUCUAAUCAGGUGUAAUGUUGCUCAUUAUUUUGAAGACAUAGCUGAAAGCCUUUAGAAUGAGUUUUGUGAAAAAGCAAAAUCUUUUGUGGUGUCUUCUAUUGAAGCAGGUGGGAGCAGAUUUAAAUAAUGCCAUCCUAUUUUUAUGAUCUUUGAUACGGUCUGGUUCUGUGUCCCCACCCAAAUCUUAUCAUGAAUUGUAAUCUCCACGUGUUUGGGGAGGGACCUUGUGGGAGGUGAUUACAUCAUGGGAGUAGUUCCCCCAUGCUGUUUUCAUGAUAGUAAGUUCUCAUGAGACAUGAUUUCAUAAGCUGCUUUUCCCCACUUCGCUCGGCACUCAUUCUCUCUCCUGCUGCCCUGUGAAGAGGCGCUGUCUACGGUGAUUGUAAGUUUCCUGAGGCUUCCUCAGCCAUGCAGAACUGGCUCUGGAUCAGUCCUGAAGAGCUUAUAGGGAACCAGGCAUUGUGUUGCAGGAAUACUUCUGGUUCUCACAUCAUUUGUUCCCACAGGAUUUUACUGAGACUCCCUGGUUCAGCCUGGUCCUCAGUAGCCUAUUCAUGUCAUUGCUGAACUGCCUGUGGAAAAGGGUGGUGGAUCUCUUCACAGAUUCUGGGCUUGCUACGUGUAAUGGGGACCAUUUUUCUGCUGCCAGAUCAUCCUGGGAUACAGUAAUCUUUUAGCUGAUCCAUAGCCUUCUCCUGUCUUGGACCACAACACAGUUAGUUCUUGUCUGGUUCUGCUGCUCCUUCUGCAGGUUGCAGCUUUCUACUCUCCUAAAUCUCUCAGAGGUCUUGCCACCUCGCUGGGACUCUUGAGGCAGCAGGAUAUCAGGCCUCUGUCUCUGGAGUCCACCCACCAGAGUCUGAUUUCAUCAUAUCUGUUAUUUCUGUACAUCUUCCCCAUCCUGGAGAAGUUUUUUCUAGCAUCGAGGGAAUGUUAUCCUUCAAGUCUGUUCUUCAUAUAUUUUGGAUGAACACAGAACUGCCUUUUUCCCCACAGAACUGAGGAUUUUAGAGCUAAAGCAAAGAAAUAGCUCUUAGGGUAUUCCAACUUUUUACCAUUUCAAAUUCCUCCCCUGAGGCAAUAAACAUGACAGAAUAAUUCCUUAAAGGGAGUGCAGACGUGAGGAGACAGGAAUGGGGUGUGAGGUGGCACAGAGGAGAAGGAAAAAGAAACAGAGGGAAAGGAAUAGAGAGACAGAGAUGUGUGCAACAUGAGAAAAAGAAAGUUAAAAACUCCUGUUCUAGGAGACAGUAUUUAAAAAUGACUCGCAAGGGUUGGAAUAAUAAACUUGUCAAAGGGAAGACUUGCAAAAUAUCAGGAUGUUAAUCCUCAUUGGCCUUUUCUGGACCCUCAUUCUACUGUAUUGCUAUAAUUAAAAGAGAAAGGGUGCAAAUAUCCUCACUUGUGACUUGCCUUUCUUGAAAAUAAAUUUAUCUGAAAACUGGUGA